rnacentral:lncRNA from 1 species
AAAGCCAAGAUACAUCUUUGUAGCAAGCUUUAAGACACUUUGCAACAUCAUUUUGAAUGUUCAACAAGAACAUUCUAUUUUUGGACAUAGGCACCUUAGCGAUUAAAUUAUUUCUAUUAUCUCUUAUGGAAAGACUAUGAUCUUUUAUGUGAAUGUCAUAGCCCUUUUCUAAGAGUUGCCCCAAACUCAAUAUAUUAUUAUUCAUGUUGGGCACAUAGUAGACAUUUGAGAUAAAUUGGUGAUUUCCAUUCUUCAAGCGGAUU